UCUGUGUCUGGGGAGAAUUGAAUGAGAUAACAAAUUCAUAGCAUCUGAGACAUGAAUAUGACAACUAUUUCAUUUACAGAUAAGGUAAUGUGGAAUUAGACAAUAAUUUUCUCAAAGCAGGCAACCCAGAGUAAUAAGCCUCAGUGGGGUUUGAGCCCAGGCCUCUUUAGGUCUAAUGCCUAAACUCUUUCUCUUACAUCUUUUUGCCUUUUUUAUAUUAUAGGAGUCAUGAGGAAUCAGGCACAAGGAUGCCUACAUUUGACCAGCUCAUUGUUCACAGGUCCAUGUCAUCUGCCUCUGCCACCCUCUGCCUUUUUCUCGGCAGCUGGUGCUUCCAGCACAUUGAUUUCAGACUUGGGCACACGCAUGGGCUGAAUGAUGCCCCCC